UCAGAGAAGGCUCAGUCGGUAGAGCAUGAAACCCUUAAUCUCUAGGUCGUGGGUUUGAGCCCCACAUUGGGCAGAA